rnacentral:piRNA from 1 species
UCAAACGGCUUUGACGGUGAGUUCUCCAC